rnacentral:rRNA from 1 species
UACGUAGGGCGCGAGCGUUGUCCGGAAUUAUUGGGCGUAAAGAGCUCGUAGGCGGCCUGUUGCGUCCGCUGUGAAAGCCCGGGGCUUAACCCCGGGUCGGCAGUGGAUACUGGCAGGCUAGAGGUAGGUAGGGGAGAAUGGAAUUCCCGGUGUAGCGGUGAAAUGCGCAGAUAUCGGGAGGAACACCGGUGGCGAAGGCGGUUCUCUGGGCCUUACCUGACGCUGAGGAGCGAAAGCGUGGGGAGCGAACAGG